UACAGGGGGGUGCAAGCGUUGCUCGGAAUUACUGGACGUAAAGCGUGCGCAGGCGGUUCUGCAAGUCGGGGGUGAAAACCCGGGGCUCAACCCCGGAAUUGCCUCCGAAACUGCCGGACUUGAGUACGAGAGAGGGUUGCGGAAUUCUUGGUGUAGAGGUGAAAUUCGUAGAUAUCAGGAAGAACACCGGUGGCGAAGGCGGCAUCCUGGACCGGUAUUGACGCUGAGGCGCGAAAGCCAGGGGAGCAAACGGG
rnacentral:rRNA from 1 species